AAGAUUGUCGUGCUUUGCCCUAAAAAUCCCAAUUUCCAAAUUUCCCAAUUUCGCAUCGUCUUCUUCUUCUUCGUAAUUUCUCAAUUUCGAAUCAUCUUCUUCUUCUUCACGGCUAAGUAUUCAAAAUCUUCAUCUUCUUCUUCACGCUUGAGCUUCCGAAAUCUUCUUCUCCACGUCGUCGUUCGCCACGCUGCCGUCUCUUCACGCUUCUCCGUCUUUGAAAAGUAACCAUCGAUCCUUCACUCCUUUCGUCUUCGCCGUUCUUGACAUUGGGGAAGCCCUAUCCCUCUCUCGUUUUUGAAGACAUUCAAAAUUUGUUUUCACACUCGUUCGAAAUCACCAUUCAAAAUCACCACCGGGGAUUAAUUUCAUCUCUUCACGCCUAUCUCUUCGCACUCGAUCUCUUCAUUCUGAAAAAUCCGUUGAUUGAAGUCCUCCAAACAAACACAUUUUGUUCUCUGCCACAAACUGAAUUAGCCUUUGAUUCAUACAUCACAUGGACAAUUUAACUAACAAAGAACUUGGUGUUGAUGAGUUGAAUGCAAUAUUUGGAAUUGAGGAUGAUGAACAUAUUGGUACUGAAAAUGAAACCUCAAAGCAAACAUGAGACCAUGAGGACCAACUAUUAUGUUUGAUGUAACUCGCAUUAGAAGUUUGGGAGAGAAGAAGGUGGUUGUGUGAAACUUUACAUUGGUGGCCUAUAUGACGUACUUGUAUUCAUCUGUUCUUGGUUCGAAGGAAAAUGUACUGUACGUCUUUGUAGAUUCGUCCCUCACCUCUGUCGAACACUCACAAGAAUCUCGAGUUCGAAACUUAUGUAGUAGAUUGAUGCUCUCAAAAAGUAACGAAAUAGUUUUUGCUCCUUUUAAUCCUGGUAUUAGGGGUCAUUGGGCACUGCUGGCCAUAUGCGUAUGAUGGUACAAUAUUCUACCUUGACUCACUAAGGACAACAUCGAAGUCAACUACAAGAUAUAUAACCAACACAUAAGUUAAUCUUCUAUAUCAUUUAGUGAAGAUUCUUAUAUGCAUGUACAAUAUUUAAAAAUUCGUUCAGUCUUAUAUCUUGUCAAAACAGAGCAAUAGCGAUGUUUCAGUCACAAAAGGACAUUAAGAAAAGUAGAAAACAAACUUUAUGGCGAACAGUAAAGGCAAGUACAAACAUUUAAAGUCAUUAUAUUUUGUAGACUACUAGCAAUUAGGAUUACUUCGUUAUUCAAAUUUGUUGAUUUUAUAUAGUGUCCUCUACAAGUCGAGAGUACUGAGUGUGGAUACUACGUCAUGAGGUAUAGGAGAGAAAUUGUGACUAGGGGAAGCAUUGUCAUAUCUGAUGCGAUUGAUACACGAAGAUCACACUCACAGGCAGAACUAGAUGAGGUAUGAGUUGAGUUAGCUGACUUUCUGGGUUCGUACAUAUGAUUGUGACCAAUAAUUUGUGAUUCUGAAGUAGGAAUUUUUUGUUGUGGCGCUGCUUAUGAUCUGAAACUUUAUGUAUAGAAACUUUAGGUGAUAAUUCUUUUGAAUUGUUCAUAUGGGGGAGGAGGGGGGUUGAUUGGUAUACUUUUUAUUAGAUUUAUUAUAGCUAUCCUCUUUUGUGACUCUCUAAGUUGAGUUGGAUUCAUGGCAAUCUAAUGAAAUAUUCAUAUCUAUGUAUAGUCAUGAAAUAUUCAUAUCCAUGUAAAGUCUUCGAAUUGAUUGUAUAUGAUAUAUGGAGAAUGGUUUUAUAUAUUCA